rnacentral:rRNA from 1 species
UACCAGCACCCCGAGUGGUCGGGACGAUUAUUGGGCCUAAAGCAUCCGUAGCCGGUUCUACAAGUCUUCCGUUAAAUCCACCUGCUUAACAGAUGGGCUGCGGAGGAUACUAUGGAGCUAGGAGGCGGGAGAGGCAAGCGGUACUUAGUGGGUAGGGGUAAAAAUCCGUUGAUCCAUUGAAGACCACCAGUGGCGAAGGCGGCUUGCCAGAACGCACUCGACGGUGAGGGAUGAAAGCUGGGGGAGCAAACCGG